AGUGGGAUAACUGGGUCAAAUGGUGGUACCAUUUUAAGUUUUCUAAGAAAUCUCUAUACUGCUUUCCAGAGUCAUUGCACCAAUUUGAAGUCCCACUGGAAGU
rnacentral:pre_miRNA from 1 species